rnacentral:rRNA from 1 species
AUUGAACGCUGGCGGCAGGCCUAACACAUGCAAGUCGAACGUGUGGCGGACGGGUGAGUAAUGUCUGUGACACUGCCUGUUGGAGGGGGAUAAUUACUGGAAACGGUAGCUAAUACCGCAUACUAUCAGAUGAGCUUAGGCGGGAUUAGCUUGUUGGUGGGGUAAAGGCCUACCAAGGCGACGAUCCGUAACUGGUCUGAGAGGAUGAUCAGGCAAACUGGAACUGAGACACGGUCCAGACUCCUACGGGAGGCAGCAGUGGGGAAUAUUGGACAAUGGGCGAAAGCCUGAUGCAGCCAUGCCGCGGAUAUGAAGAAGGCCUUCGGGUUGUAAAGUACUUUCAGCGGGGAGGCGUUACCCACAGAAGAAGCACCGGCUAACUCCGUGCCAGCAGCCGCGGUAAUAC